rnacentral:lncRNA from 1 species
AGGAUUUUGCUGCAAAAACCCGACCCUAGCACCGGGACCUCUACAGCUCCAAAAAUGGAUGAAGUAGUAAAGGGCUGCAGCCACCAAGGAUAUUCAGCUGCAGUCUCUAGACCUUAAUCGCAUCAUCAAGCUGCUUGAAGAUCCAAACUCAGCAAAAGUAAGCUAGUCAACCUUGAGCUUCAGUGAUUAGGACUACAAGCUAUGGAACUGGAAGAAUUACCCUGGUAGAAUUACAGAAUAAGACUUUCUUUAAACGUCUUUUUGCUGUAAGGAAGUAAAUGUGCCCAUAA